AGCUGAAGAGUGAGGCAGGCGAGAGUGAGACAGCGUCUGGAUUUAUGUUUACCUCCCUGCUGGAAAGGACCCUUGAGGGAAAUUAAGCUCUGCUCUCUGGACAGGGUCACUGAAGAGUUAAUCAAGUAUAUGCACACCAGACAGCUGCUCAUAAAGGUCAUUCUCCUUAAACAACAGAUAAUUCCUAAUUCUGGGUGGAAAAAAAUCCAUAGUGCUGGAGUCAUGGAGAGUGUUCAGAUGCAAGAGUCCUCUGACUUUCAGUCUGCAAAGAAUGCGUCUCAGGUGGGAGCAAAGGUGGACAUUACUCACGUAGUCCAGGAGAAUCUGCACCACCUUCCCAGAGAGGUGCAUGAGGCAGUACAGGCCAAUGAACUCACAGAACUGGUCAAGAAAAGAAACAAGGAGAACAACACUGUGGCUUGAAUGAUCACUGGGAUUGAGAUGUCACCUAAGGUUCUGUUCAAAUAAUCUUAAAUCAAGGCAGUGAGAUUGCUUAAAGAGCAGUGACAUAAACCAUGGUCUCAUGGGGAG